rnacentral:rRNA from 1 species
GAUGAACGCUAGCGGCAGGCUUAACACAUGCAAGUCGAGGGGUAUGCUUCUUCGGAAGCAGAGACCGGCGCACGGGUGCGUAACGCGUAUGCAAUCUACCUUUUACAGAGGGAUAGCCCAGAGAAAUUUGGAUUAAUACCUCAUAGUAUUAUAGAAUGGCAUCAUUUAUAAUUAAAGUCACAACGGUAAAGAUGAGCAUGCGUCCCAUUAGCUAGUUGGAAGGUAACGGCUUACCAAGGCUACGAUGGGUAGGGGUCCUGAGAGGGAGAU